GAGGAAAUGAAAGAGGAGGGGUUGGCAGUUGCGCAGACUUAUUUUUGUUUGGGUUUUUUUGUUUGUUUUCUGUGCUAAAAAGGUGCAAAAGAAUUGGUAUUUUUAUCCCCCCACCUUCCCGUAGGUCCGUAUGCUUCCCUGCAGACUGGGAGCCCCAGGGAGGCCAGCGCUGUGUCUCAGUGCUGGAGUGCUGAGCAGGUGGAGGGGACAAACAGUGCGCCCACUAACUGGUGGAGCUGCCAAGCUCACCACUGUACCCAUUUGCUAUCUCCCUGUGCCAUCCUGGUUCCUAAUCUCGGGCUCCUCUGUGUCCGUGGGCUGUGCCUGCAGGUAGUGUUUCCCCUUCCUCCCGUGCUGAGCCCCCUCCGAUCUGCUUUCCUGGCACAGCAGCGGGUGCUGUCUGGCUCUUGCAGACACCAAGCAUCUGCUGUGCCCAGUGCAUCCAAAAAUCGCACCUCUUUUGUAUCUGUGUGCGGAUUUAAGGGCUCAGUGUGAGGUGUCUGAAGAGGUGCUCUCGGUUGGAGCCUAUUCUGAAUGGUGCUGCCUGAACGGGGGCUGUGUCUGCGUCGGGAGAUGUGCAGAAUUAAUGCAAGGUUUGGAUCAGCUCAUUAACUGCCUAUGCCGGUCCAUAUCUUGCCCUUGGAGGUACGUGUGUUGCUUCCAGUGCCAUCAACAUAAAGACUCUCGCCAGCACAGCCGGGGAUGGGAUUUGGCCUGUUUAUAUUCACGGUGCAAAAAGAGCUGAAGGAUUAAUGACUGAUUACUUCUCGGGCCAGCGGGAGCCUCGGGUACCCAUCUCGUGUGCAGCUAAAGCGCAGGGCAGAGCAAGACAAAGCUUUGCAACAGAAUCCUCCCAAUUACCUCACUGCUCUCCCCGCGCGCUGUAAAAUGCACCGUCAGCUCUGCCAGCCAGCGCUCAGCCUGCAGCCAAACACCUCCUGCAUUGCUGCAUCCCCCUCCGCCCCGCACUGUCCCCAAUUUGGGGUGCUUUGGUGGAGCCCUGCCUUGCUCCCUACCUGCCCCUUGUGUGCGUCUCAGCAUCCUUUUGUGCCCCCCCAGCGGAGCCUGCGCGUUGGAUGCGGUUUCUAUGGUUACAGCAGCUCCUGGGCUCUGGGAAGAGCAGUUGGAUGCUGGAGCUGGCAGGACCGGCAUCUCCCUCCGGAUCAGCUAGAAACUUGACAGGGUUCGGUGUGUGGCAGAGCAGGACAAAGAGAGAAGGGGAGAGGGAAGGUGAUGAGAGAAACUCAGCUUGUGCUGGGUACCGGGGUUGCCCCCAACAGGUUAUGCUCUGAACAGGCUUCAAAAAGGAAUAAAAAGGGUGGGGAGGAAAAAAAAAAUUGAUGAGAAAACUGCAGUUCUGGUGCUCGCAUGAAGGUGACAUUUGUUGUAGCGUCUCCAGCCGUCAGUACGGGGAUCUGAACACAAGGAAGUUGUAACUGCUGCCAGGAUGACUGUUUCUACCCACAUUUUUAUUUUCCCCAGCCCUUUUUUCCUCGUUUCAUUCUUUUGGUGCUUUUUAUUCUGAUAUUUCCCUCCCUACACGCACAUGUUUCCUCUCUGCUCCGACAUAUCCCUCUUUUGUUGGUUGGGUUAAAAGUUUGAGGCAUGUUCAGUCCUCACCGCGUGCAGGUGCCACUUGGGGCACCAAAAAGUGCCAGCUGGGAAUUGACCUGACUUUUUUUUGGCAGAGUUUUUGCCCAUCAGAGCCUUCUCCUGAUGAUGGACACAAACACCAACCUCUGAGCACAGCGUGUGUAGGUGCACAAACCCAGCCUGAUGUACUCACCUGCCGUUGGGACCUUCCGUCCUCUCAUCUGCUCUGCCCCAAAUUCAGGCAGAUGAAAGCCCGACAAGAAAGGGCAGACGCGGCUUCCCCUCAACAAGUCGCUGCAGAUUCUGUGGAUACCCCAUCCUUGCAAGUGCUCAAGACCAGUUUGGACAGGCCCUGGGCAACAUGGUCUGGUGACUGGUUGCCACCCUCUGGGGUUGGAACAGGACGAUCUCUGUGCACCUUCCAACCCAAACACCUAUAAGCCACCUUUUGCAUCACAGCAAAGGUUUUGCUUCACUGAGGCUGGAUAAGAAGGGCCAGGACCGCUCCUGGCUUGGCCAUCUCAUCAGCCGGACCCAGAUUGGUCCCUGUGAGAUGCAUGGCAGGAGCAUUCUUUCUCAGAGCUGAUUGCAGUUCUUCUGUGUGCAUGGGAGCAGCCUUGGAAGCAGCCUGGUUUCCUGAAAGUACAUAACUUUUAUUGAAAAAUAGGAUUUUCCCCUCCGAUUUAUUUUCCUUGUCGUGAAAGCGUCACGGUCACUUCUGUUGAGCCAAAUGAAACCCAGUUUUAGUCUGUGUCCUUAGGAGUGUUUGAAAUACCAUGGAGAAAGUCUGCAGGUUGGUUUUGAAGCCAUCCAAAGGGUAAAAGUGCUGGAUUGGUUUGUAUCUCAAAUCUCUCUCACCCCACUUGUCUGCAUGGAGCUCCACAGUACCUACCUCCAAGGAGGGGAAUAUUUGACACGUGGGCCUGUUUGUGUUGAACUCAAGACUGUUUUUACUCAGUGCAGGGAAAUGUCAUUGGGCUCCUUUUGGUGUCACUUUGCCGUUCCCAAGCAGUUUCCUGGAAAGACAGCAGGAAGCCAAACGUGCAUACAUUUCUGAAGCGCUCGGGUAUUUCCAAGUGAUGCAACCUCAGAUUCCUUCCCUAGCCACCCCCCCUUCCCUUUUGCUUCAAAACCCUUUUUGGCCUCAAAGUUCAGCUUGUCUUUCUGUUGUUUUGUUUCCGAGUUCUGGAGGCACAGCCCUACAGCAGGAGGAGGUGGGCAGCCCGCAGUCAGGUGCAGGGGGGGCUGGGGGGGAAGCUGCUCCUUUGGGGAACCCUUGCUCCGGCUUAUAGGGCCAUCUGGGACUGUGGGACCGACUGUGUGAUCCUCCCACGGUCUGGACCCAUCAGCAGGAACGUGGUGAAGGCUCACACCAGCCUCUGCUCAUCGCCUGCCCUGAAUCCCUUUGGUGAAACUCGUUGGCAUCGGAGGAACUGGGUCUGGAGGAGCUCAGCCCUGCUGGUGUCGGUGUGGGGCUCGGAGGUGCGGUGGGUGGCAGAGCUCCCCUGGAGCCCCCCAGCCCCUCCUCAGCAGGAGGCAGGCUUCCUUUCUCUGCUCUGCGCACUGUCCAAUCCCAAGGCUGUUCCUGUGGGUCAGCAUUGCCCAUGAUGGGUUUGGUCUCCAUGCCGUGGUCCAACAGCCAGCCUACUCCGAGCGUGCUGCUGCUGGAGCUGUGUCUUUUUUUCUCCAUCAUGUUCUUGAAGAAGUGGGAGCUCUGUGGAGCAGUGAUGAUGAAUGCUGCUUUGCUGGGAUCUGUCCUUUUCACUUCCUCAAACACAAGCAAAUAAGAAGUGAUUGUAAUGCUAGCUGCUGUCUCCAGAUCAAAAGCGCUAAAGCAACACUUUGAGAACUGAGAAGGGCACGGUCUGAGCCUCCCCUCAACCCCACACCUCCCAACGCUGCCGUAAAAUCUGUGCUGAAAAAGGACCAGCAAAUACCAGGUUUGCCACGCGGAUGCACUGACGGGGUUGGGGCACUUGUGGCAGGGACAGCCCAGAGUGACAGCCCCGGGUGCUCCCAGCAAGGGCAGGAGUGCAAAACCCCGCAGUAAAUGGAAGGAGAAGGCGUUGCUUUGCUGCUGAGAGAGAAUUUAGGUGGCAGGGAUGAAACAGAGAAGCGCUGUGCAGGGAGCGGUGCUGGGGCUGGAGGGCUGUGGGAGGGAGGUAACAGGAUGGCCCCGGGUACCGCUUCCUCCUGGCGCCCCUCCAGCCGUCCCCGUCACCCCCCAGUCACAUCCUGCUUGCGCUGGCUCCUGCCUCAUCCUGCUGCCUGCAGUUUCUCAACCCCUUUCCCUCCUGCCAGCACUUUCUGGCUGCUGGGGUUGCUGCGGGGCAGCGGGGCCGGAGGCAGCUCUUGGAGCACCGGGAGAUUUAGGAUCGACAUGCUCCAUCCUCUCCUGUUUGAAAGCAGAACUGCCAUUUAAGGGAGGGUUUGGAGAGGAGACAUCUUCCUCUUUCCAAAUCCUUCUUGCCGGCGUAGCCCCUCAUCCCACAGACCCUGCAGCAUGGAGCAUCCCAGCACCUUUCCCUGGGUCCCUGCUUUGUCCCCAGUACCGUUUCCUCCUCCGCAGCCCCAUCUCCGGAGGGGCCACGUGCUGUGGGAAGGAUCCCAUCCUGCUCUGGGACGCUCCGUGCCCUGGCAGGGUGCAGCUGGGGCUGGCACUGCUCUGCGCUGGGCUGAGCUGUCCUGGCCUCCAAGUGCUUCUGCAACAGCCAGGAGAUCUCGAGGGGAGUUCUUAGUGGAGCAGGGAGAUGCUGCAGCACAGCAGCAAGCUGGAGCUGUGAGGAGGGGGGGAAUCUGCCACGGACUUUCUGGGGUAACCUUGGUCAAGGCAGCUUUCUCCCCGCGUGUUUUUUUUUUAACCUAAACACAACGCUGCCUUUGCUCGCUGUGCUGGUGCAGAGGCUGAUUCCCAGCACCCCGGAGGAGGGCUGCUGGCUGCUGCCACAGCACUGCACUGCAGCAGCUCUGAGCUCAGAGCUCCGUGCUCGGGGUCUCAGCCCCACUGCGGAGCUGCUGCCUCAGAGCUGGGACCGCUGGGACCCCCAUCCACACGCUGCAGGUCCCCGCUUUGCUCCAUCACCCAGUGCUGAGGCCUGGGGCGAGCGGCGGGCUGCGUCGCUUUGGGGUUUUGGCACACAGGGAAUGCAAGUGAGGGGGGGGGGAGGCACUCCCACGAUCCCCGCUGUUAGGGAGCACAGCACUCGGGCUGCCGCGUUUCGCCCCCAACAGAAGGCAGGGAACACGGGGAGGAGAUGGUUGCGCCCGCCUGGGGCUCAGGGAUGGGGCCGAUGGGCGCUGGCGUGGAGCGUCCCUCCUUCCCCAUCCCUCCUCCCCACGCACGGGGCAGCGCGGCCACGCACGGAGCCAACCAGGAGCGAUGCGAGGAGGGUCGCAGCUCAGCGGGGCAGCUCCGGACUCCCCGCUCUUCCCUCCAGACCACGCAACGGUUAAAUUCCUUUCCAGCUGAGCUGGCAAGCAGAGCCCGAGCAUAUUAGUCAGAUCCCUGUAGGGGGUGGGGAGGAGGAAGGAGCGAGCAGCGAGGAGGGGCCGCAGCCCAGCGCCGGGCUGAGCUAUUCUCCGGGGCGAGUGCGGGGAGGCAGCGCAGCAGGAGUUGCUGCUUCCCAGAAACUUGAUUAUUUUUAACCCAGGAAGAAAAAAAUAAAAAAUAAAAAAAAUAAAAAAGGAAGGAAGGAAAGCGGGGAGAUUAAAAAAAAAAAAAAAAAGAGUGGGGGUAAAUCUAAAGGAACUGGAAAACAUGAGGUUGGCGUCAGCACGCAGCUUUGCGGAGGGGGAGAAGGGGCGGAGAGGUUCGGGCUGCCCUGGGAUAGGGAUGGGGCACGGAGCGGUGCCAACCCCAGCGGAGCUGCCCUGUGGGGUGGAGGAGACAGCAAGGUCUUCUUUCUCGCGUUGCUUAACCACGUGUAGAUGGGAGCCUGGCACUGGGCAGAGUGCAGAGGCAUCUUGGUGGUGUUCCCACUGCAUGACACUGUUGUGUUGGGUCUGAGAUGCAGAGCCCCGCAGCGGUUGUUUCAAAGCCCCACGGCUGGAAGAGCACUGGGGGUCUUCUGCCCCACGCCCGGAGCUGCACUGAGGGCACUGGCACUGCAGUGCGGAUGGGACACUGUGCACAAAGUCCCCAGUGAAGGUCCAACCCUUUCUGACCCAAACCCUCCCCAUGUAUUUGUAUGACUGCAGCAGCUGCGCUUGGUUGGAAACUCAAUGUCUUCCAUGGCUGUAACACCAGCCCAAAGCAUUACAAGCCAUGGGCCCUUCCAGGAAAUAUCUGGCAAUCCCACACUGUGCUGCUCAGGGUGGUGCUGGGACCCCUGAGCUGCUGUUCCCAGCCCCCAAACUGAGCUCCAUGGGGAACACCACGUGAUGAAAUGUCCUAUAUCCACAGACCCCAUGUGGAAACAGGCCACGGCUCUCCCUGGGGAGGUUCUUCCAUGUUGGACCUCUGUUGGACCUCUGCUGUCAUCAGUUCUGCUCUGCUGCUGUGCCCAGAUCCUGGAUGGGGCUGGUGAUGUCCACAUGAUGGCAUCAGAACCAUCAUCUCAAAGGAGAAGAAGCCCUUAGCUUUGCAGUCACAGCCAGGCCAGGUCAGAAAACGUAUUCCAUUCCACAAAGGCAGAGAGGUGACAAUGGCAAUCAGUUCAGCCUAGCCAGACCGGGUUUGGAACAGGCAGCAGGCACCCCUCGAAGUGCAGAGGAAACAAAACUCUUGACAAAGGCACUGCUGCUCUGCUGGCUCCAUGUGGGGCUGCUGAGGGUCUUUGUGCUGGUUUGGUUCCUUGGGCAAUGUCACCCCAUCGUGUCCCAGCGCACCGCAGCCUCCCUGCCACCAGCAGGCUCAGCAGUGCGUGCCCCAUCCCUGGAGCUGCUCGAGGCCAGGCUGGACGUGGCUCUGGGCAACGUGAUCUGAUGGUUGGCGACCAGCCCACAGCACGGGGGUUGGAACUGGAUGAUCUUUGAGGUCCCUUCCAACCGAACCAUUGUGCGACUCGAUGAAAACAUGUGGCUGACUGGGUGCAAAAGCGCCAAGCCUUCCUCCUCCCCUCUUCCUCUCCCAAACCCCAAGGGUCUGCAGUGGAGAGCUCCCCCACAUUGGCACACCCAGGGGCCCUGGGGACGGGCCAGGAACUGCUUCCACCCCACGGCUGCAGCAGGAUGGGGCUCGCAGCAUCACCCGCCCCACUGCACGCCCACAGGGCUGGGAUUUGCCAGGGGGUGUUGGAUGGCAGAGGGCCCUCCGAAGAGCCCCUCGUGCUGCAGGCAGCCUAGCGCACUGCUCGCAGGGUAUUUUUUUCUUCCUCGCUCUUUGUUAAGCUCCCUUUCAGCUGAAAUGGCAAUGCCUGGGUGUUCUGAGCUGACAAUAAUUGCUGCAGUCUAGACACUGUCUGGUAUGAGGCACGGGGAAUCAAAGAGGCCCCUUCUCUCGCAGCGACUUUCACACAUGCUCCCUUGCUUGGGCUCCUUCCUUCUCCCUCUCCCAUGUUCCCUCGGUCUUUGCCUUUUUUUUUUUCCUUUCUUUCUUUCUUUCUUUUUUUUUUUUUUUAAUUUUUUUAUUGCUCCCCUCUAUCUGCAUGGCACAGAGAUGGAGGAGAAGCGUCAGCAUCUUCCCCCACGCGCGCUCCCUCUCCGCCGUCUGUUCCAUGCUCCCCCUCUCCCUCUCUCUCUCCCUUUCUCAUCUGUCUCCUCUCUCUCUCCUUCCUCCACUCUUACCUUUAUGCUAUUCCCUUCCUCCCAAAGUUAGCAGAGAAGGGAGAGGGUGGGGGCUGGCUCUGCCGGAGUUUAACUCCUUCCUUACCCUCUUGAAGCUCUCCCCUUCCUGCUGAGCCCUUCCUGGCUGUGGGAUCCCCUACCCACCCCAUCCCUGGUCCUACAGGAGGUGCCUGGUGAGGCUGUGCUGGAUUCAGAUGCAGUCUCAUGCCCUGAUACCAUGGGCAUGGAAUCAUCCCUUCUUGCACCAUUCCUUGGCCAACAUCAUGGCCAAUGGGAAGGGCUGUCCAUUGGGGACCCAUAGGAAGGGGCGACCAUUGGGGACCCAUAGGAAGGGGUGUCCAUUGGGGGCCCAUGGAAGUCCCCCACGUCUCAGCAUUGCAGUGGUGCAGAGCUGGGCAGGUGCUGCAGCUCCUCCAUCACCUCCGUGCCCAACAAGAAGGCAGCCAAUGUGGGAGAGCACCUCACUGCCACACCUCCGCUGGUGGGCACACGCAGCACUCAGGAGCAGCAGCUGCUCCCCAACCUCCAAACGCUGCUCAAAUAUUUGCUGGGGUGCAGAUGUGUCCCAGCUGCAGGGAACCCAUCGUUGCCUCUUUGGGUACUUGAGUUGCCACAGCAAAGCAACGGCAGGUCUCCAGGCAUGCACCCACACUGCUUUAGGUGCUGCCUCAGUCUGUGUGUUGCUGGCGCUUCAGUGGGAUGCCGUGUUGCAGUUCCAAUCAUGCCCAGGACUUAUUGUGCUCUAAUGCUAUUAACAGAUCGUUUCUUGCUCACUUCUGGACUCCUCUUCAUCUCUGCUCCCUGCGCAAAAAGUCACUUUUUCUGCAGAGCCCAACUAAGUAGUGCUGAAUUCUCAUCCGUGCGUUUUCAUUGCUGUCAAAUGCUUUCACCGGAGGGGAAACUGAGGCAAAGCACAGGGCAGCCAUCUGCCAGCCUGCAGGUCCCCUCCGUGGGACACGGAGCUGCUCUGCAGCCCUAUUUGCACUGCCCGGCAUCUCAGUGGCGGCGGUGCUGCUCGCCUACCACGGCAAAGUCACAUUAGGAAAGUAUGCGAUGUAUUUUUAACUGUCCAUAAUGCAAUUUAGCAGCUGGAAACGAGGACGAAAGCCAACCCCGUGCGACCAGCCAGAUCUCUGCUGUCCGUGAGCGAGCGCUCGGUGCACGCGGUGUUACUCUGUCGGGUUGGGGACCUCGUUUGGGAGAAGGGCAGGGGAGGGCUGCGUCCUCAAAGCGGGUUCUGUCUCGAGCCAAGGGGUGAUGGAGCUUGGGGACCUCGCUGGGGCAAAGCAGUGCUGGUGGUGUGACAGCAGGAGAGGAGACAGCCCCAGGGGAGGGAAACAACUGCUGGAGGUCAGCGGCAGAGCCAGGAAUAAAAUCCAGGUGUGCUGAGCUGGCGCUGGGUUUGUAUUCCCGCACAUGAGUGCGUGCAACUGCUGUCCCCAGGUGCAGAGAGAGCUUCCCAAAGCCAACAGUGCGCUCCGGAGCCCCACUGCAAGCUGUGGGGCAGCAAAUGUGCAGGAUGUGGGGGGAGAGAUUUGGGGUCUCUGUUCCCUGGAGCAUCCCACACAGCGUGGCUGGGUCUGGGCCCCGCUGGAAGGAUGCUGAUAAGGCAGGGAGGUUAAAAACACUGCCUUUAUUUUGAAGCUUAUCUCCAAAUCCUAAUGAAAACAGACGAAGAGGGAAGGCAGGGACAUCGGAGAUGCAGUGGGGCUGAGGCUGGGCGGUGCUGUGCAGCAGAACGCGGCUGGGUUGGGAGUCCAGUUGGAUCCAGCAUGAGAUGCAACACAGGGGGAGUGUGAGAUUACAGGAAAGCUUUGGGGCAAACCCGAGGAGCCGGGGCACAACUCUUGGGUCCCACACAUGGGGAGAGAAAAGCUGGGGGGGGCUGCAGUCCCUCUUCCUGCCCCACCAACACCCUGAAACUCAGAAUCCGCUCUUAGUAAGGGGCUCAGUGAGGAAGAAAAACCUUGAAACCAAGGAAACAAGGGAAGCAAAAGGGGGGAAAAAUUCCUCUGCAAGGGGCAAUGAAGGAGGGAACGGGAACAUUUGGUGGGCUGGGAUGUCUGCUCGGCCGAGAUGUCCCAUCUCAGAGUGGCAUCAGCUGCAGCCUGGGGCAGUGCUGUAGGAGAGCGUUGGGGGUAGGAGGUGGGAGGGAGGGGCUGAGCAGAGGGCUGUGGGGAAGGUGUGGGGCGCGGAGCAGAUGCGGUGGGCUCAGUGAGGAGUGCGGCUUUGCAGACACGAAAUAACUUUCCCCUUCCUAAAGUGAUGGGGUACUGAGGGUGGGAGAAGCUCGGGGUGAGAAGCACGUGUGUGUGUGUGUGUGUGUGUGUGUGUGUGGCCAAACGCACACAUCGCAGCGCUUCGACUCCAAGGCUGUACCGAAGGAGACCCUCCCGUGCCACAUGUGGGUCGUUCCUCUCCAACCACCCCAUCGUUCCCCGCAGAGGGGCAGCGACACGCGCCCUCCAUCGCCGCCGUGUGCCGCGGGGCAGCGUUCGGGUGACCCACCGCAAACUAUGGCGAGGGAGGGAGGGGGGCACAACCCCAUCCGUCCCCAUUCACAGCUGCGCACCCCCAUCCCUCUCCCGUCCCGUAGCGCGGUGCCCGGCCCGGCUCGCUGCUGGGGGACCGUAACGUGAUAUUUCCCCGCGCGUCCCCCGGAGGGUUUUUUCCAUUACACGGAACGGAGCUGCCUGCUCGCCCGGCUCCCCCGCCUGCAACCUCUGGCACCGCUUUUCCAGCGGCACAUUGUGCAAAUGUAACCUUUCAGCAAAGCCACUCCUACGGCAGGAAGCCGUGGGGCCUCGGCUGCUGCCAGGAACGCAGCCGGCUCGGAGCUGGAAGGCAGCCCGUUAAUCAGAGCCGGCUGACAGCAAAGCACACAUCCUGGGCAACAGAUUUCUGCUCCCGCUCCCUCGCGCUCAGCCUCGCCUCGCCGUGCCUGCAUCGCUCCUGCUCGGCUGCUUUCUGCCAGCCCUUCUGCCUCCCCCUCCUCUUCGUCCUCCUCCUCCUCCUCCUCUUCCUCCUCCUGGGGUGUCCAGCAGGGUUUGCUCUUUGCAGGGGGGCUGCGCAUGGGGACAGGUGCCAGCCUGGGGGUCCUGCUGAGGAUGGGGGGGUGUUCGGUGGGGCCGUCCCCCGUGCUCGCAGCACCCACAGGACCUCCUGCAGACAGUGCUUGCAUCCGCCCCACAGCGCUGUACCCAUCGCCAUAUGGCAGCGCUGUGCUCAGGGUGCUGUCCUGGCUGAUGGAAACCCAUCGUGGCUAUGGGGUGUGAGGCCGUGGGGUGUGGGGUUAUUCCAGACCCCCCGGCCCUCCCCAGGCCCUGGGGACACCCAGUCCUGUGCUGCAGCCAACUUUGGGGAAGUGCCUUUGCCCGCCUGCAGCCCAUCAUCCCAACCAAACGGGAGCUUUUGUCUGAGCUCAGACAGCACGGCAGGGCUCUGCUUGGCUCCUACCCGAGCUUUCUCCAGGUACAUCUGCACUCGUGCCCAGGUGAAGCCCCGCCAUCGCUGUCCCCACGCAAUGGGCUCUGUAUCUUUUGCGUCUCGUUUCAUCCAGGACUUGAAACACGAAAGUGCUGCAUUGUGGUGUCUGUUUUUGUGGUGUUUCCAGCCCAGCUGGAAGCAGGAGGCACUAAAAAAUGGAGAGAUGGGGGGGGAGGGGGAGAAGGAGAAAGAAAAAAUCAAUCUGGCAGUAGUCCAUCUUCCUUCCAAACCCACCGGACCCGGGAUGCUCCCACCUUGCUCAUCCCAGCCCAUCCCCGAUGGCUUUGGGGAUGCUGCACAAAGCAUGGCCCCUCUGCUGGCGUCGAGGCCGGGCUGGUAAAGCCAUCCCUGCAUUUAUUUCACCUUUUCCUCUGGUUGCGAAUUGUCCGGGAGCAGAUGGCGAUUUUCUCAAGUGUAUCCGUUAUUCGAAGUCGCUCACCGAGACAGGGAUGGCUCACACAAACCCGGCCCCCCUGCAAAGCCAUCAUUUGGUCUUUCCAUCUGCCCAGCCACUGUGUUCGGUGUGGGUUUCAGCCAGCUCCGUGGGGCAGAGCGGGACGGCACGGCCCUACACGGUCAUCCCCUUAACUACGGGACAUGGAGCCGUGACGGCCAGGGCAGCUUGGGGGUGGAAAGCAAUCCCUGGAGCUGGGGGGACCCUCUCCUUAUGAGCCCCUGAAUGGGCUCCCAGGCCCAUCUGCUGCCACAUUCUGGCUGCGUUUUUCCAUUUUCCCUUCUCAGUCCUCUCCUUCUCCCCUCUGCGAAAGCAGCCAUGGGGCCGGGAGCUGCCUUGCAGGGAUGGGGCAGCGCUCUGUAACCGGAGCCCAUCGGGACCCCCUGCGCAGCCCCACGCCAGGAAUGUUGCGCCGAGGGGGGCUGCCAAGGGCUGACAAAAGGGGAACCGCUUUGAAAUGCAGCUUGCUCUUCCCCCCCCCCCCCCUCCGUGUGUUAAACAAAUACCCCCCGGCUCAGGGGGUGCCUCCCUGCAUCCCACAGCCUUUUGUUGCCAAGUCUUUGUCUGGGGUGUAGAGAGAGGGGUGGGACCCCCCCAAGCCUCCCCCAGGACACCCAUGUGGAUGGGGUCUGGGAUGCUGAGCGUGGGGCUGAGAGUGGCUCAGUGCCCCAUCACAGGGCCUGGGGACACCCCCUGAGCCCCGCUGCCCGCUGUCCCUCCUGUCCCUGUGUCCCAUCCCCAUGGCAUCUCACCAUAGGCGCAGCCGUUGGGUCUCCACGUGGGAACUGCCAUCAGACUGUGCCAUUCCCGCAUGCCAAUCCACAUCCAGCAUCCAGCCCCCAUAUGGGGGGGUCCAAACCCAAAGCUUGGGGGUGUUGCGGAGCCCACUGUCCCCAGAGGACAUUAAGGGACCAAAUCCCAUUAAGGGACUUGUUAUUUUGCAUCCCCAAAGGCACUUCACGCAGUUUCCUUUCGGGGAAAAUAGUUGGGGGAAAAGCCUUUGAGAGGGGGGUUGAACAACCCCAAAAUGCCCAAGGAAAUGGCAGCGCUGUCCUCCAGCCAUCAACACCAUUGUGCCGUGCAAAAGAACCUCCUGAAUUAACCACAGGAAAGGUGAAACUCAAAAUGAACCCCUUGGAAACCAAACCCAGGCUGCUCCGACCCCCCCCUAGGCACGAAGACCACAGAAGCCCCCAACUGCUGCCCACAUCCCUCCGUGGUGCCCCAAAGGUGGGAGAUGCCCUGGGACACCCCAACCAGUGCCAGCGGGGCCGCAGUGGGAAGGCUGGGUUGGGGAUGGGCAGAACCCGUUCAUCCCACUGCUUUUGGGGGUGGGUGCGUGGGGGGAACCCCGGGGGGGCGCUCAGCCCUCCUCUGUCCACGGGAAGGCCACGGGUGAGCGCGGUGCUGUGCUGUGUCCCCGGGGAGCAGCGGCCCCGCAGCCCCGCGCCGCGCUCGUCACCCAGACAAGAGAUCAAUAACUAAUUUCACUGCAGCAGCAGCACGGGUUUUUUUUCCAAUAAUUGUGAGCCGGCGGUUGGGAAUGAGGCUCUCAGCACCGCUCCACACCAACCUGCGCCCGAUCAAUCGCCGCGCCGCUGGGGCAGCAGGAAAACUCAUUUUUCUCUUUUUCUUUCCUCUCAGCCUCCUCCUCCUCCUCCUCGUCCCAUCGCUCCCUCUUUGGGCACAGCGAUUCCGGCUCCGUCCCCUCACCUGAGGGCUGUGCUGAGCGUCCCCACCUGCAGUGGCUGCUCGUCCCAUCCCGGUGCUGCCAUCCCAUCUCCUGCAGGACAGACCCUGUGCCAAGCGUAGGGCGCAGCAUCUGUCCUCAUCCAGGAGCACUGUGGAGCCGUGGCUACGGAGCCGUGCCUUUCGGUCACCAGCUGGUGCCUUUGUGUUGCCCAUACGUGUUCAGUGAUGCAGGAGGAGAUCUUUGGGAUGCUGUGGGGUUGGUCUGAUGUCGGGCAUGAGCCUCGCUGGGUUCCUCCCUCGUUAUCCAUCUCUUUAAGCAUCUGAGACCCUCAGUGCCUCAGUUUCCCCACACGUGUCUGUAACAGUGGGCACAGCUCCCUGAGCCGCCCAUAGGCUCUGUGCUCCAGUCCCCAUCUCACAGGACACAGUGCUGGGCCACGAUGCCAAUCUCUGCAGUCCCAACCUCCACACACCCAGAAGGCAUUGAGGAGCACUGCGGCAUCCCCCACCUGUGUGCCUUGUCCCAGCUUGGGGUCAGUGCCAGUGGGUGCUCUGAGCCCACCCUGAGCCCCAUCCCUGUGCUGGUGGGGCAUUUCCACGUCCUUCUGGUGAACCAGCUCAUGACUCCCAUGGUUAAUGUUUGCCUUAACCCCUCUUUCCACACAUUGAUUUGUAUUUGCAUCAUGCCCUGGCCACGGUGCUCAGGAACGCAGGGUGCUUGCAGGGCUCCCCCCACGAGCAGCAGUGUCCCCCAGCCAUGGCUAAGGUCAUUCUUCAUGGGUUUCCCAGCAGCACUGGGGCCUCCAUCCUUUCUCUCCCAUUUAAUCCCAUGAAUUAAACACCGCCUUCACCGCGGAGCGCCGAGCGGUGCCGGCGUAAUGUCCAAGUUUUACGACUUGCCUUGAAGGCACCUAUCGAUUGGGGUCCUCUCUGGAUGAUGGAGCUUUUAGUGCAUCCUGGGCUGUCCGAGCAGGGCUGGAUCCUCAGCCCACGGGGCUCAGCCGCGCCGUGCCGUCACGUCCCCGUGCCCCAUCUCCAUGGGUCCCAUGGGGAGGCGGCAGGCGGGGCCCUCAGUGCCCACACGGCGCCUUUAAGAAGCCCACAACCAGCUCCAGGAACACGAGCUCAAGGUCACAGUGGGAAACCUGCGGACUUGGCAGCGAGGAGAGGAGAGGAGAGCGGGCGGAGGGGAGGAGGAGGGAGGAGGGAAGCAGCUGGGGAUAAAACCCAAAUUCUGGCGGGGAAGAGGGGACGGAGGGGAGCGGGGAGGUGAGGUGCAGGGGGGUCCCACCCAGGGGUGCCCAACUGUGGCACCUUGAGGCCCUGUGCCGCAUCCCCCGGCGCGGCACCCGGACGCCCUCUGGGAGGUUUGGGGUUACCGAAGGCACCGGGAAUGAGGCGGCUGCUCCUGGUCUGGGUUUGGAGAUGCCCGUUUUUAAUUUUCAUCAGCAGAAUUAAUCUGCGGAGCUGCUCCCCCCCCCCCCCCUCCUCCUCCCCUCCCCUUCCUUUCCUCACUGGUUUCGACGGAGAAUUUGAUCACUUCUCCCAGGAGCUCGGCACCAUUAACAUUCACUCCUGGCGCGCACGAGCCGCGCUGCAUCGCCAAGCGCAUCGCCAGCUGUGGGCUGUGGGCUGUGGGCACCUCGACCCCCAUCAGCAGCCCCAGCCCUUGGCCUGGCACCAUCCUCACCCCCACCGAGCCGGGGAGGGGCUGCUUUAUUUCUGUGUCCGCUCUCCCGUAGGAAAAUGAAGGGCACAGCAUAGGAUCAGUGGGUGCUGCCCUUCUCCUGCUUCCAGCCAGCCUUGGGCUCGGAUCUGGAGGUGUCCGGAGGGUCGUGGCCUCAGGGUUUGCUCUGCAGCUGCUGGGACACCUGGGGCUGUCCAAUAGGAUGGAAACCAGAAAGCACUCCGGGGGUAGGAUCCAAAUCUUGCACCAUUUCACAUUUUAAGGGAUGCCAAGUGGUCACCCUGGGCUGCCCCAGAGUUGCAUAAAGUUGUGGACUUUUUUUUUCUUUAAUAAAGGUUAAUAAAGAAUUAACUCCUUAUUGCUGUUAUUAUUACUCCAUCACUGUCACUAUCACUAUUACCAUUACCAUUGCUAUUACUAUUGCCAUUGCUGCUAUUGCUGUUGUUGCUGCUAUUGCUAUAACUAUUGCUAUUUCUAUUGCUACUAUUCCCAUUUCCAUUUCUAUUCCCAUUCCUGUUCUCAUUCCUCUUCCUCUUCCCAUUCCUCUUCCUCUUCCCAUUCCCAUUCUCAUUCCUGUUCCCAUCCGUAUUCCCAUUCCCAUUCCUAUUCCAAUUCCUAUUCCAAACUGCUGCCCCUUGCAUGACAUACAGUUUCCCUGACACCAGCACAGUCCCAGCUGGGACGAUGCCCUCUGGCCCCGAGGUGCCCCCUGUGCUGCAGCAGCAGCAGGAGCUCCAUCAUCCCCUCCACCAGUGUGGGGCUGCAUCCUCCCCAUGUACAAAUGAAGCCCGUUUUUCUCCUUUCUGGCUAUGGCCCCACGCACUGAGCCCAGCCAUGCUGCUCCUCGAGGGCACGGAGCCAUUCACCGAAGCGAGAAGCCGAACGCCUUCUUUUUAGCCUCGCUUUAACAAGUAUUAAUUAACAAGAGAGUAAACACUAAUCCCGAAAUGACACAAACUGUGUCGCUUGAAACGAAUGUUUGGGAGCUGUCUGUGCUGGGAUUUACAGCUGCAUGGGUUAAUGGGUGCUAAAUCAUUGCUCAGGCUGCAAGGAGAAGCCGAGCUGGAGAGGGGCUGGGUGUGCUGCUCAGCCUGGCAUCGGCUGCACGGGGUGCUGGGGCUGUGCUGGGCUGUGCCAUGCCAUGACCUCCUCUGGUAGGAGGUGUGGAUCCGCUCAAUGCUUGGAGCAAUGGUGCCCCCACCCAGCAAUGGCUUUAACCAUAGAGCGCUGCAAGAGCGACCAGAGAGUCACCCUUGCCUACAGCCAACCUCCAACCCUUGUGGGCUCAGGGAAGGCUGGGGGCUGAAGGCAGGGACUCAGCGUCUUGAGAGGGGCCCGGAG
ensembl:lncRNA